GAUGAACGCUGGCGGCGUGCCUAAUACAUGCAAGUCGAGCGAACAGACGAGGAGCUUGCUCCUCUGACAUUAGCGGCGGACGGGUGAGUAACACGUGGAUAACCUACCUAUAAGACUGGGAUAACUUCGGGAAACCGGAGCUAAUACCGGAUAAUAUAUUGAACCGCAUGGUUCAAUAGUGAAAGACGGUUUUGCUGUCACUUAUAGAUGGAUCCGCGCCGCAUUAGCUAGUUGGUAAGGUAACGGCUUACCAAGGCAACGAUGCGUAGCCGACCUGAGAGGGUGAUCGGCCACACUGGAACUGAGACACGGUCCAGACUCCUACGGGAGGCAGCAGUAGGGAAUCUUCCGCAAUGGGCGAAAGCCUGACGGAGCAACGCCGCGUGAGUGAUGAAGGUCUUCGGAUCGUAAAACUCUGUUACUAGGGAAGAACAAAUGUGUAAGUAACUAUGCACGUCUUGACGGUACAUAAUCAGAAAGCCACGGCUAACUACGUG
rnacentral:rRNA from 1 species